UAAGCAUAUCAAUAAGCGGAGGAAAAGAAACCAACAGGGAUUGCCCCAGUAACGGCGAGUGAAGCGGCAAAAGCUCAGAUUUGAAAUCUCUUUGUCUCUCAAAGCGAAUUGUAAUCUGUAGAAGGUUGAAUGGCUGAAUUUUCCUGAUUUAAAUUUUUUGGAAUAAAAUAUCAUAGAGGGUGAGAAUCCCGUGAGUAUUGGGAAAAUAGGUCAAUUAAUUCACCUUUCGACGAGUCGAGUUGUUUGGGAAUGCAGCUCUAAAUGGGUGGUAAAUUUCAUCUAAAGCUAAAUAUCUGCCAGAGACCGAUAGCGAACAAGUAGAGUGAUCGAAAGAUGAAAAGCACUUUGAAAAGAGAGUUAAAAAGUACGUGAAAUUGUUGAAGGGGAAGCGCUUGCGAUUAGACUUGAUAUUAAUAUUCGAUCAACUCUUCGUUCGAUUUAUUUUAUUAUUAUCAGGCCAGCAUCAGUUUGGUGGGAUUUAUAAAAUUAUUGGGAAUGUAGUUAUCACUUCGGUGGUCAUGUUAUAGCCUAGUAAAUAAUAAAUCCACGCCGGACUGAGGUCUGCUCUUCGGAAAGGAUGCUGGCAUAAUGAUCAUAAGCGACCCGUCUUGAA
rnacentral:rRNA from 1 species